CACAUGUUUAUUUUAAAAUGAACAAAAAAGCAGAUCAAAAAUUUCAUUAGAGUUUAGGGGCUGCACAGGUUUGGAAAACAAGGGUAAAUAGUAGGAGGGAGCACGAGAGACCGAGUAAGGUAGGGAGGAGGCAGGGGGGUUGAGUUGGGGUGUAGGGACAGGGGGUAAAGGGCAAGAGUCGGAGGGAGUGAGAGGGAUGGGAACCAGGCAGAGGUUUGGGUUUAGAUCUUCAGUUGCUGUUUUAUCUUCCAUCUUCUCGUCACUUUUUCUCUCGAGGUUUCCUUCGAUGUCCUCUUCUGUCUCCUGCUUUUCCUCCUUUUCUUCCUGCUUUUUCUCGUCCUUUCUUGGUUUGUCCAUUCCCUCCUCUUCUCCCUCGUGGCUUUCCAGUUUUUCCUCAUGGGAAUUUGUUUCCAGGGUUUCUUCCUGGUGGUCAGCAUUGGGUGCAAGCUCCUAUGUAGACAGAGUAAAAUGUAUUUUACUGAACUGUGACUCAGUCUGACAGAAGUUGUUAGGACCAAACAUGACAUUAUGGUAAAGUGAAGUGAUAGCGGAGACAGCUCACCUGAAGGACGUUCUUCCAUGUGUCCAGAUUUUCCUGUAAUUUCUCAAACAGAAGCUUGUUCUUAAUUUGGAGCUCCUCCACUUUUUUUUCUCCUCUUUCAGACUCUUCUCGGUUGAUUGCCACUUGCUGCUCCAGUGUUGUUCCCUGGUGUUUAUCUCCAUGUCUUUUAUCGUCGAUUCAUGGAGGAGUUCUACCCAGGCUUUGGUUCGAGCUCUUCUUUUCUUCACACACCUUUGAAGCGCCUCAUCCUUGAGUUUGAGCUCUUCUUGGAGGCUACUCACUUCCAUUUUGUGAGCAUCUUCAAGGACGGCAAUCUUCUUCUUUAACGAUGCAUUUUCCUCCUUUGCAGUCUUCAACUCCUGAGUGGCAAAAUGGAGUGCAUCUUUUAAUUCUUGCACCGUUUCACUUUCAGCAAUCCUGUUAGCUUCCUGCUGCUGUUUCAUAUCAGCAGCGCUAGUCUGCACUGCCCAAGAUGCCUGAAUGAUAAAAACAUGCACAGAGU
ensembl:lncRNA